rnacentral:rRNA from 1 species
AACGAACGCUGGCGGCAGGCUUAACACAUGCAAGUCGAACGCCCCGCAAGGGGAGUGGCAGACGGGUGAGUAACGCGUGGAACAUGCCCAAAGGUACGGAACAACUCCGGGAAACUGGAGCUAAUACCGUAUGUGACCGAGAGGUGAAAGAUUUAUCGCCUUUGGAUUGGCCCGCGUUGGAUUAGCUAGUUGGUGGGGUAAAGGCCUACCAAGGCGACGAUCCAUAGCUGGUCUGAGAGGAUGAUCAGCCACACUGGGACUGAGACACGGCCCAGACUCCUACGGGAGGCAGCAGUGGGGAAUAUUGGACAAGGGGCGCAAGCCUGAUCCAGCCAUGCCGCGUGAGUGAUGAAGGCCUUAGGGUUGUAAAGCUCUUUCGCCAGGGACGAUAAUGACGGUACCUGGAUAAGAAGCCCCGGCUAACUUCGUGCCAGCAGCCGCCGUAAGAC